rnacentral:rRNA from 1 species
AGAGUUUGAUCCUGGCUCAGAGCGAACGUUAGCGGCAGGCUUAACACAUGCAAGUCGAGCGACAAAGGGGCUUCGGCCCUGAGUAGAGCGGCGGACGGGUGCGUAACACGUGGAUAAUCUGCCUCGUGGCGGGGGAUAACAGUCCGAAAGGACUGCUAAUACCGCAUGUCAGGUCGGAAACCCCGGUUUCUGACGAAAAAGAGGGCGCCCGCAAGGGGCUCUCACCACGAGAUGAGUCCGCGGCCCAUCAGCUAGUUGGCGGUGUAAUAGACCACCAAGGCUAAGACGGGUAGCUGGUCUGAGAGGAUGACCAGCCACACUGGGACUGAGACACGGCCCAGACUCCUACGGGAGGCAGCAGUGGGGAAUAUUGGACAAGUGGGCGAAAGCCUGAUCCAGCCAUGCCGCGUGAGUGAUGAAGGUC